rnacentral:ncRNA from 1 species
CCUGCGCAGCCAUUUCACGAUCUGAUAAGCCACCACAAAUUUGAAUAAUUCGAUCUGAUAACGUCGAUUUACCGUGGUCAAUAUGUGCGAUAAUGGAAAAGUUACGUAUGUUUUUCAUUCUGAAAUUAUUUUUCUCUAUUGCUUUGCUCUAUAAAUCUGGCUUUGGAGUCAUUCAUGGACACAAAGCGAAAACUCUAUAUUGCAGGAGUUAUUAUUGAUGACGCAUUCUACACACUAGAGACAUUAUACUCAAAGAAACGUUCAUCAAACACAAACAUUUAUGCUAAGACUUGCAUUUAUUUGUGAUUUUUUUGAGACAAUUUCUAGAUAUCGAAACGCAUUAAUUUAAGAUGAAAACAAUAACGAAAUUAGCCAAGCAAAAAAUAAUGGGGCUAACGCCCCUUCUUUUUUUAUCUGCUAACUACUCUUGGAAUUGAACCUUAAGUUCAUGAGGAGGAAGACCUAUUUGUAAUAUAACCGGUUCAAAACCUUCAUCUUUGCUCCACCAUGUUGCCACUCUUUUUGCUAAUAAAAAGCCAAGAAGGCCACCAGCAAGACCACUACAAAAAAUAGCAAAUUCACUGGAAAACCAAAGGCUCGCAAUGCCCGCAACAAUAAAUAGGCCAAUAAGUGGCGUUAAAUACACCAACAUCGCAGAAAGAAGUAGAUUAUUUUCAGGGAUCCCAACUUCCACUUUUUGUCCUUCGACUAAAGGUUGUGCUACUGGAAGUUCGAGUUGAUGAACAGUUUCGGGUCCUAUUUUAUUCAAUAAAUAAGAACCACACGCGGCACGAGCUUGACAACUACCACAGCCAGAAGAAGAACCAUAGCGCAAUAACGCUCUUCCUUCAUGCCAAUGUAUAACUGUUGCCCACUCUUUAACCAUAA